AUUCUGCAUACCGAAGAAUAAAGACACAGCAUAAUCCCUCUCCCCAAGGACUAGACGACACAUAGUCUGGGAGUCAACUGGCUUUUAUUGCACAAACUCUGCUUUUAUGCAUUUGUCCCAUGCAAGGGAGGUAACCUCCAUAAUUAUUACAGUAUCCAAUCACAUAGUUGUUACCUCCCCCACAUCUCCUCCCCUUAGAUUAACAGUAGCC